UAUAUAUAUAUAUAUAUAUAUAUAUAUAUAUAUAUAUAUAUAGUUUAUUAAAAAAUAUUAUAUA
rnacentral:tRNA from 1 species